CAGUCGAACGAAACUUCUUUAUCACCGAGUGCUUGCACUCACCGAUAAAGAGUUGAGUGGCGAACGGGUGAGUAACACGUGGGCAACCUGCCCAAAAGAGGGGGAUAACACUUGGAAACAGGUGCUAAUACCGCAUAACCAUAGUUACCGCAUGGUAACUAUGUAAAAGGUGGCUAUGCUACCGCUUUUGGAUGGGCCCGCGGCGCAUUAGCUAGUUGGUGGGGUAAAGGCUUACCAAGGCAAUGAUGCGUAGCCGAACUGAGAGGUUGAUCGGCCACAUUGGGACUGAGACACGGCCCAAACUCCUACGGGAGGCAGCAGUAGGGAAUCUUCCACAAUGGGCGAAAGCCUGAUGGAGCAACGCCGCGUGGGUGAAGAAGGUCUUCGGAUCGUAAAACCCUGUUGUUAGAGAAGAAAGUGCGUGAGAGUAACUGUUCACGUUUCGACGGUAUCUAACCAGAAAGCCACGGCUAACUACGUGCCAGCAGCCGCGGUAAUACGUAGGUGGCAAGCGUUAUCCGGAUUUAUUGGGCGUAAAGGGAACGCAGGCGGUCUUUUAAGUCUGAUGUGAAAGCCUUCGGCUUAACCGGAGUAGUGCAUUGGAAACUGGGAGACUUGAGUGCAGAAGAGGAGAGUGGAACUCCAUGUGUAGCGGUGAAAUGCGUAGAUAUAUGGAAGAACACCAGUGGCGAAAGCGGCUCUCUGGUCUGUAACUGACGCUGAGGUUCGAAAGCGUGGGUAGCAAACAGGAUUAGAUACCCUGGUAGUC
rnacentral:rRNA from 1 species